UACGUAGGGGGCAAGCGUUGUUCGGAAUUAUUGGGCGUAAAGCGCGUGUAGGCGGCAGUGCAAGUCGGGUGUGAAAGCCCUCAGCUCAACUGAGGAAGUGCGCCCGAAACUGCAUUGCUUGAGUACCGGAGAGGAUGGCGGAAUUCCCGAAGUAGAGGUGAAAUUCGUAGAUAUCGGGAGGAACACCGGUGGCGAAGGCGGCCAUCUGGACGGAUACUGACGCUGAGACGCGAAAGCGUGGGUAGCAAACAGG
rnacentral:rRNA from 1 species